rnacentral:misc_RNA from 1 species
GAUGAAGAACGCAGCGAAAUGCGAUAAGUAGUGUGAAUUGCAGAAUUCAGUGAAUCAUCGAAUCUUUGAACGCACAUUGCGCCCUUUGGUAUUCCAAAGGGCAUGCCUGUUCGAGCGUCAUUUAUACCCUCAAGCUUUGCUUGGUGUUGAGCGUCUUGUCUCUAGCUUUGCUGGAGACUCGCCUUAAAGUAAUUGGCAGCCGGCCUACUGGUUUCGGAGCGCAGCACAAGUCGCACUCUCUAUCAGCAAAGGUCUAGCAUCCAUUAAGCCUUUUUUUUCAACUUUUGACCUCGGAUCAGGUAGGGAUACCCGCUGAACUUAAGCAUAUCAAUAAGCGGAGGA